AGCCUGGCCACUAUUAAUAUGAGACUUUUGGCAAACAAACUCCAUGCACAAUCGUUAUUACACUUUGAAUUGUGAGUUAGAACAAAACAACAUACCAAUACAGAUUGCAAAUAGAGUGCAACCAAAAAACUUAUAUUUUUAGUCGAGCAUAUUGUAAUUUUUAAAAUUGGAACGAAAGUCUCAUAGCUUAAUCUUAUAUUUACUUUAAUGGUGGUAUGUACUGAAGGAGGAUGAAAGAAUACAGAAAAGUCAAGUUUUAAUUGAAAUAGUGCAGCAGAAGCUAAGGUACCAAACAAUACGUAGCAAUGUACAAAGAGUAAAUUGUGUAGAAAUAAAAAUGUAAACUUCUUUAAUCCGAUAUGUUAUUGUUAUGACCAUAUUUUUUGGAGUCUUAGCCAUUCAGAUAAAUAAAAUAAGUCUUAAAAGGUU